rnacentral:rRNA from 1 species
UACGUAGGUGGCAAGCGUUGUCCGGAAUUACUGGGUGUAAAGCGCGUGUAGGCGGGAGGCCAAGUCUGCUGUGAAAUCGCUCGGCUCAACUGGGCGGGGUCGGUGGAAACUGGUCACCUGGAGGACGGUAGAGGCGAGUGGAAUUCCCGGUGUAGUGGUGAAAUGCGCAGAUAUCAGGAAGAACACCCGUGGCGAAGGCGGCUCUCUGGGACGGUACUGACGCUGAGACGCGAAAAGCGUGGGGAGCGAACAGG